AUGGAGCUAUGUAGCUGUGGAGCUAUCAGGACUCCAGAGGUCUGAAGACAUAGAAAUUAUCCACCAGCCUUGCUAAAAUAUGUGGAAGAGAGCUCAGGUGUGGGAUUGGUGAAGCAUCUGGCCAACAGCCUCAGAAGGAAACACAAAGAUUGCCCUAAUAAAUAAUUGUACUUAAAGCCUGGGCAAAAGCAGGGCAAUUCCCCAUAUUCCCUGACUUAGGUGGUUAAUUCCACAGACUAAGGUUUUAGUUUUCUCCUUCACAUGAGGCUUUGUAUUUAAAGCUGAAAAUGUUUUGUUGCCGUACACACAGUGGCAUAACUUCAACACCUCUUCCAACAACUACAGCUGUUGGCAGCCAGUGUCUGCUCAGAAUAUUGUCCCAUGCAAUCCACAACACUGCUUUCAAAAUAGAUCAUGUCUGUCUGCCUGCCUAUCUAUUUAUCUAUCCAUCUAUUUACUUCUGUAGGUGUACCUAAAAUAUGCAGCUGCUUCCACAGAGGAGUUAUUGCAGUCUUUGUAGAUCUACAUUCCUUCUUGCAGAGGUUGUAGUUAAAUGAACGCUGUUACCUUGCCUCUCUCUUUGUAUCCUUCAAAAGUUUUGAACCCAUUCAUAGACUACAGCACAUCUAUCACAGGAAAAGCAUCUCAAAGGCUGUAAAAUUACUAGCAGAUAGACUAGAAUAAAACUAGGGGAGGAAAUGUACUGUAAGUACCUCAGUUAGAAAAAUUAUUCCGGCAUGAACUAAACACCGGAGAAUACUUGCAUAGGGACAGUUACAACUGUGCCUGUAGAAGGAUGUAAGAGACGGGGAGCGUCUAAGUAACUAAAUGCAAGAAAAUCUUCAAUCAAGAAUUUGAAAUGAAUCGAGAUAUAAAGACAACCACAUCUUCUUAAUUCUGUUGCUCCCAGAAUUAUUUUCUUUAAUUGUGUAGCUGUGUAUUUUCUUAAGUAAUCUUUUGUCACUUUGGGUUCCAACCCACAGCAUGAAGAGGAGCUGGCACACCAUGACCCUCGGUGUCACCUUCUGCACACAUCCCCAUUAGCCUGCAGAAAUGAGAUACUUGUUCUGUAUCUGUCCUUGCUUUAAGUGGGACCAUCGGAAUGAAGCACUCUGCCCAACAUUAUCCAAGGUUCCAUCAGUCUUCAGCACCAAAACACACCAUAGAAGCAGGAAAUAUUCAAACUGCUUACUUACGUGUGGGAGCACAUGCAGUACCAUGAUGUAUACUGGUGGUAUACUUAUUUCUCAUAGUCUUACAUCACCUUUAUUUCCCUGUAGCAGAAUGAUUUGCUGGUGGACAAACUUAGCAAACUUAUUUACAGCCUCCUUUUAAUUCCUCAGCGUGCAUAUUAUCAUGCUGAAAGCAUGGUAAUAACAGUACAAGUAAAUUCAAGACAUUUUUAUAUUUUUAAUGAAGAAUUCACCUAAAGAAGAAUGUCUGUUAUUAGCUUUCAUGAGGAUUCAACUUGUCAGAAUUAUUCAUUUCAUGCUCGGCAGUUAGGCUGUAUUCACACAAAAGAGUGUGUCAGACAGUUACAAGGAUGAAUUGAAUAAUAAUUCAUAUGGAAUAUUUCCUACCUUGUUAAUUCAGUAUCAUCUUUGCUUUUUGCCAGAACUGAGUAAAUCUUUCUCUGUUCAGCCACAGAUAUGGACAUUUUAUGUCUAUUCAAAAGAAAACUCCAUUCAGAAGCUGAGAACACAGUUCUAUGGAUCCUUAUGGGAACAAAAUGCUGCACAGUACUGUCCUUCAGAGGGUGACAUAAUAUUUAGAAGCAGAACAAGUACUGACAUGCAGAAUCAAACUCUAUAACCACAAAGUAGUUACAAAAUCAGGUAUGUUUAAUCAAUGCUGCACAGACACCAUGUGCAAAGGGGAUAGCUCCUCCUAACUUGCACACCGUAGGACCAAAGCUUGGUACAGAUAUAGGCAGAACUAAAACAUAAUCAAUGGUUUUCCCAGAGUUUGUAUACACAUUCAUUAUAUUUCUGAGAACCCCUUAGCGUACAGUCCCUCCCCCUCACACAUGCAUUGUGAGCACUGGGGGUCUCCUCCUGGUGGUCGUUGGAUGAAGGCCCAUCAUCUUCCUCGCAAAGGCUCAUAGUCUUCCUCGCUGUAAACUUCUGACCCUGAGGGAGGGGUAGCCCCUGAACCAGUUCUAACUUGCUUUGUGGACAUCUUAUCAUUUCCUCGCUGGGUGUCCUUGAGCUGUUCUCAAAGCCUCAUCUUUAUCUCUUCUACCCCCUGCAUUGUCCUAAUCCCAGCUUGUUCCUAUCCCAUUCUUCUAGCAGCCUCUGCAUAUUUGCUUCUGUAAACUAUCUCUAACUCUCUUUUACCCUUAGUUUCUGCGGACCCUUUCUUACUGAACCCUUGCUUACUCUUCAGAACUACCCAAAGUCAUGGUAAGUAGGAUAACCCAAGGAAUGAGCUAACAAGGCUCAGUCAGCCUCAUGGACAAAGUCAAAUGCUUUCUUGGAAAGGGAAAUCAUGGGAUAUACAGAUAGCAAGGACCACUGGAGGACUCUGGUCAAGCCCUCUUCUCAAGGACUAGAUCAGGUUGUUCAAGGUACAACUUCUCUUGUUCUAAUUCUAUCUUUGGCCACUCUCAUUAUGAAAACAUUUUUUAAUUAAAUUUCCUUUAUCACAUGUGUCUGUUGUGUUUCAUGACAGCAUUGUGCAUCUUCAGGAAGGCUCUGGCUUAUCUAUGCCUUUCCUCAGGUAACUGAAGGCAGCAAUUAGAUUUCCCAUUCAUCUUUCUUCAUGAGGUCAAACAAACCCAAUAGUAUAUCCAAUGCUCCAACACCUUGGCCUCCUCCUUGGCCUUGUCUGGACUCAUUUUAUGAGCAGCCAUGUCUUUCUUGUAGCAAGAGCCCCAAAUCCAAAACUGAAAACCAGUAUUUACAUAUGGUGUUACAAUGGCUGAACAGAGAGAAAGAAUCAUUCAAUUCUGGAAAAUUGUUCUGAAAUUGGCCUGCUGGCUGCACUCAUGCUAACAGAGAUCAACCUGGAUGUGGUUGGCCUCUCAUGGUGCCAAGAAUGCAUCGCUGACUUCUUAGGUAGAAUUCAUUGUCCUUAAGGUUCCUGGGUCUUUUUUGCAAAGCUACUUCUGUUCAUUCAGUGUCAAUCCUAUACCAUUGCAUGUUCUUAAUCCCUUGCGUGUGUAUGACUUCACAACUGUCCUUGUGGAAUUUUAAGAGGUUUGUACUUAUCCCAUUCCUCCAGUCUGUCACGGUCCCAUGUGAAUAGCCACCCUGGCCUCUGACCUCCAAAUCUACUGUUCCCACAAUGUGGUGUUGCUUUCUGUGUGUGUGUGCUUGUGUGUGUGUGUGUGUGUGCGUGUGUUGUGUGAAAUGUCUGCAAGGGCAAUAUGUCCUGUCAUCCGGGUGCCUAAUAAAGACAUUACAUUGUGUUGGCCUAAA